AAUAUCUGGAAUAUAAAAAAAAGAAUCUCAGCAUUUGUAGAACACAAUAUAAAACCAUUCGUCAGUAGAAGGACUCAGAUGUUAACACUAGUCAAAUCAUGUCCCUGGAAACAGCCAUCAUUAAAAAGUAAAAACCGCAUGGAGAACAGUCAAUUCAAAGGUAGAUGCUGCUUCUUUCAACACAGACUUACCCAAAAGAUUUACCAAAUUCAACAGAUUAGGGCAAAAUGAAAUCACCCCCCUUUAAAAUCUAAACCUGUGUACUGUUGUUUCACCAAGUAACUAUAGCAUGUUAAUGUUACAAAUGUCAUUUAUUUUAAAAUUUUGUUUUCCUUUUGUUUCCAUGUUUUGCAUUAAGUUAAACUCUCCUACUAAUUAUUUUAUAUUCUGUAUCACUUCUUGCGCUGCUUUUCAAUCUAUUUUCCACAACGCGGAUACUGGAAUCCUACAGAAGAGAUCUUGUGGUCUGAGUGCUGAUCCCAACUUGGCCAACUUGGUGUUCUCAGUGGCACCCAAACUACCAUUAUGAUGGUCUUCUGUGGUUGGUGAAUGAACUGUGAUGGACACUGGGUGCCCUAACCAACGUCCCCUUCAAAGAGGGACUUGCUGCCCAGGAGGCUGGGAAUACUGUCAACACACGGUCUUUGGCUCUCAGCCCCUUCUAAGAUUGCCUGAGUCGCAGAGAGCCACCUCGCCCGAGGUCACACCCUUCCCAGGCACCCGACACCCAAUAAGCAAUUGUGAAGGAGGAUCAAAGUCUGGUGCAUCCUGCCCCAAUGGGAGACAACACUGAAGGCCCCUCCGAUUCCCCAAUUCCUUCUGGGGCCAGUGGAGGCUGUUGAUGGGCUGCACCCCAGCUUGCCUUCUCUGCACGCUCUUGCCUCUUCCUCUUCUCUUCUGCAGGUGUUGAUCCCAAGGACAUCCUCUAAUAAACAUCCUGAAUGCUAUGGAGGCCAAAGCUGGGGUUAGCCCUCAGGGCUUGACACCACUGGUUCCCAUCAAGGAAGCAGUAAAAUUCCCUUAGGACAAAUAUGGCCAUUUCCUUCAAGGAGAGGUUUUCAAUAGCCUGACCCACACACUGACAAAUGUCAACAGAUACGGCACCAGCAGAAGAAGAGAAAAAAAUGACAGCUUCCUUCUUAGGCUAGAAGUAAACUCAGGGCACAGGGAAUCUGCAUGGCCUCCUCUCUGAGACCAGCAGAGCUUUCUGCACUGACCUUGGGAAAGGAGACAUUUGAGCCAGGCCUCCUGGGAGUAUUACAAUGGCCAGGCUGACACCGUUAAAACUGGGAAAGGCUUACAACCCCCAAUAAGAACAUUUAUUCUACAGGCUAAGUACUCUCUUCAUUUAUAAGACAAAAUAGAGUUCUAAGUGAACCAGAUUCAAGUAUCUUCUGACUCAAGUUCACCUUGUUAGUAAAAAAGGCAGCAAUGACAGUGUUUACAUGCAGUUUAACCUUUUUAAAACCAAAAUCACCAUUCUUCCAUGCUAGGCUAGAGGCUAAACCAAACAAUAUUUCACUGCUUAUAUUAGAGUCAAUGCUAACAUAAACAGCACUGUCAUUGCAAAAUUAUGUAACGGUAAAGGUGCAUAUUCUAUUCUGACAGAUAGAAAUUUCAUUAGAGUCUGUGAAAGGGUCAGGUAGAGAAACUGCCAAGGGCAGACAGAGCCUAGGGUUACCCACGUAAUAUCUCAAGGCAGCCACACUUCUACUUAACACAAACAAAAAGCAAGUAUGUCAAAGAGCCUACAGGAUUCAAAGCUUCAUUUAAGGAUAGAGGAAGCUAUAAUUGUAAUUAAGAAGAAUGUACCUUUUUCAAAGUGUCCCUAAAAGUUAGUAUCUGAGUCCUACAACACCUGCCAAAGAUCGCAUGAGGAGACAAUGUGGUAUUAAAUAUUUUUUCUCAACCCAUUAAUAUAAAUGACAGCUACCAUUCUUAUUAAGGCCACUUAGCGUACAUCAAUAUCUAAAAGGUUUAAAUGACAGCCCAUGUCAGAAAAAUUUGUUUAAACAAUAGAAUUAACAUUGGCAGAAUGGGGGAAACAUCUUUUCCAUGCUGGCUGAGUGAGAUUUGGGCCCUUUAUUGAAGAUAACAAUAACAAGAACAAUAAUGAUGAGAGUUUGCAUGUGCUGAGUGCUAGACAUAGUCAAAAUGCUUUAUGUGUACCCAAUCAUCUAAUCCUUAUAAUGCAGGUAGGACUGUGGGCCUGAUUCUAUACCUCUGGUGCCCAGGUACGCCUCUUGCAUUACACUGAGGCCUUCAGAAAACUGACAUGAAUCAAACCUGAAAUAAGAGCAAAGAGGCCCAUCAUUUAUAAAGUGAGGCUAAACCCAAGUCUCCAACUGGCAGGGGUUUUUAGGGUGGGUGUGGGGAGUUUCCACCUAGGUACAUGCCUUUGAAAGCCAGCAGGUCAGGAAAUAUGUCAUAGUGCACACCUCCCUGAGUUCACAUAGAUUAAGAUAAAAUGGGACUAGGCCAAAUUGUUACAUUUGAAAGAGCUUAAACGACUUCAAAUUCCCCUUAAUAUGUCCCCUUCUCAGUGACACACCCUUUUGCCUUCAGGUGUCUAGUGCCUUUCCCCUUUCCUAAACCACCUUGUUUCUCAGUGGCAUGGCUUCGUAACAAAUAAAAGCAAGAGUUCUAUCUAUUACCAGGCUGUGGUGGAAAGUUCCCGACAGCAAAGGCCAGAAUAAGGUGUUUGAAUAGGAUUGACUCACACUCUGAAACUCAUUCAUAUGAAUUUAUUAUUUCUCCAAGUUCUUCCCACUCUGUGUUCAUCUCCUUUUAAUUGAAUUUGAGGCAUCCCAAGUUAAGAGGGAAUUUGAGAACGGUCACUUUCUCAGUUUCUAUAAAUCAGGCUGUGUCAAAUGCCAGCCAUGAAAGCAAACCAGGUGGGGACGCUUGCUGGGGAGUGGUGCUUGGCUGGGAAGAGCUAUUUCCGUGCUCUGGACAUUUCUCCCUGCUUCCUUGAGGCAGAAAAGGAGGCAGAGCUGCUGGGGAGUAGCUGUCCCAUGGUAGCUGUCCAUGACCCCACUGGCUUCUUGCUGUGACCUUAAGAAGAGUCACAAAUGGCAGAUCUCUUCCUUCCUUAUUCGCCACCUGUCCUUUGUUUCUGCUCCUUCCCAUCCUUCAGUCUCAUCUGUUCUCCCAGAGCAUUCUUCCCAUGCCUAAGCCCCUUCAUCCUAGGGCUCCUCUGGCAGAAUGGGAGGAAAGAGUGUGGAGGGCAGAUGGAUGGAGCUUGGUGUCUGUUCUGGGACAGGCAUCACCAUCUAUUACUUGGCUAUCUAGAAGCUCCAUCCAAGAUUGUGGACUUGACAAGAGAAACCUGAUCCUGACAGUUAACCUGAUCCUGACUGCCUAGAUACUAAUACAAUGAGAGAAAAAAACUAAAAACUGUGGCAGCUGUUUAAAAGUAACAUGUGACACACUAAUGAUCAUGAAUGCCACUGAGCCUGUGAGCUUAACUUUGAUUGUACAAACUCAACCCAGUGUAAAAUGUAUCACUAAAAACUAAACAAGCUGACUCUUCAUGUUGACAAAAACGUCAGCCAUACUAUUUUAUAGUCACAUCACGUACGCCAGCUUUUAUCCAUGCUGCAUCCGCCGCCCGAUCACAACUUGAAAAUGGAGUCUGAAUUCUUAUCCAUGCUGCAUCCGCCGCCCGAUCACAACUUGAAAAUGGAGUCUGAAUUCUUAUCCAUGCUGCAUCCGCCGCCCGAUCACAACUUGAAAAUGGAGUCUGAAUUCUUAUCCAUGCUGCAUCCGCCGCCCGAUCACAACUUGAAAAUGGAGUCUGAAUUCUUAUCCAUGCUGCAUCCGCCGCCCGAUCACAACUUGAAAAUGGAGUCUGAAUUCUUAUCCAUGCUGCAUCCGCCGCAUCACAACUUGAAAAUGGAGUCUGAAUUCUUAUCCAUGCUGCAUCCGCCGCCUCAUCACAACUUGAAAAUGGAGUCUGAAUUCUUAUCCAUGCUGCAUCCGCCGCCUGAUCACAACUUGAAAAUGGAGUCUGAAUUCUUAUCCAUGCUGCAUCCGCCGCCUGAUCACAACUUGAAAAUGGAGUCUGAAUUCUUAUUCAUGCUGCAUCCGCCGCCCGAUCACAACUUGAAAAUGGAGUCUGAAUUCUGGAACUGGAAAGAACCCCCACAUAGCAUCUUGUUCAACCCCCUCAUUUGAAAGCUGAAGUAACUCAGAGAUGGUAAUUGACUUAUCUAAGAUCACACAAAGCAUUAGGGACUUGACCACGGGGCAUCAAGGACGGGAGCCAGGCCUGCCUUAUUUCCAGGGCUCUUUGACCUUCACCGCAGAGAUUUUUUUUUUUUUCAACUAAUUGUAUAGAGAGAGCCAGUUACCUUGAACAGUGAAAGUCUAGGGCCUGCAAACAGCUGAAAGAGGAUGGAGCCCCAUCUAUGGUAGUGGGUUAAGCCGCCCCGGGAAUUCUCCUUAGCUCCUGAGAGGAUAAGAGCCCCUAACAUAACCUAUGCAAAUAUGGACUUGGUUUCCAAAGAAAAAUGUUCAUGUGUUCUUUCAGCAUGCGUACUCUACAGUCAUUGGAAAGAUCAACAAAGAAGUUUUUGGAAAGAGGGACAUUUUAGGAAGGAAGUGAGAAUUCUGCAAGAGGAAGAUCUCAUGGAAAGCAACUCGAAUAAUG